CCUACGGGAGGCAGCAGUGGGGAAUAUUGGACAAUGGGCGCAAGCCUGAUCCAGCAAUGCCGCGUGGGUGAAGAAGGUCUUCGGAUUGUAAAGCCCUUUCGACGGGGACGAUGAUGACGGUACCCGUAGAAGAAGCCCCGGCUAACUUCGUGCCAGCAGCCGCGGUAAU
rnacentral:rRNA from 1 species